rnacentral:lncRNA from 1 species
CUUUCCUGUAAUUGGUGGACGAUGAUGGUGAGCUGUGCGGAGGCCGCUACGAGCAACGUCAGGGGCACAGUGUAGUCGAUUCUCGGGCAACGAGAGUGGAGACCAUUGUGGUUGGAUACCAUGUCGUAACGAUCGUAGAGUUCUUUGCAGGGCGUAAGGUGUAGUUCGUAGUGCUGUGCGGAGUAUGACGUUGCGCAGCUGUAGUUGUGAUUUUUGUUAGAGCGUCUAUCUGAGUCGUGUAGGUUUUGUCACGGUCGCAUCCUGUGGCCCGUCCGCGCACUGUGUGUAUGUAUGUUUUCUUGAACAUCGGUUUAAGGCGUCACAAUCGAGAAUUUUCGUGAGGGUAUGGGUGAUUGAAGGGUAUGCCUUCAUAGAUGCCCCACAGUGUUGCGUCGUGCUAGCUUUUUGGCUUAACAUUGGCGUGUAUGGUCGUGUGGCAAAACAUUAAGGCGAAUGGUUGCAGUGUGUUGCAGGGCUGUUCAGAGCGAGGUCGGGGAAAGGUCCAUCGCGGUCCCUCACCAUGAACCGUUGAUGAUCUUUAAGCUGGUUACGCUGGGUGUGGGAAAUGGUUGUGGUCGGACUUGGAGUAUUAAUAUUCCUUGAGCGUGGUUUUUUGUGUGGAGCUCUGAUUUGGUGGAAAAUAUUCUUUUGCAUUCCUCUGCAUUCUUUUUCUCAAGUGAUGAGUGAAUGGGAAAGCAGGUGGUGGUUGCUACUCAUUGCAGGUGGAUAGAGAGCUGUAUACGUCGAUAUCGAGCUUAAGCGUCCGGUUGGCUUGACGUCGUCGUAUAUGGUCGUGUGGCAAAGCAUUGAGGCAAAUGGUGGCAGUGUAUUUCUUUAUAAUUGGAAGCUAGGCCGGAGAAAGAUCCAGUGCGGUUCCUCACCAUGAACGUUCGAUGAUCCUGAAGUUUAUGCCGCUGGGAGCAGGGAAUGGUUGUCGUUGGACUUGGAGAGUUAAUAUUCCAUCGUGGAUUUGUGAGUAGAUCCUUGGUUUGGCGGAAAGAUGGAGGAUAUAGCAUUGGGUGAUGGAUGUUGGUGAUGGAUGCUGUUUUUGAGGAUUUGUUUUUGAGCAUGGAAGCUUUGCUAGAUUUGUAGGACAGGUCAAGUGCUGGUGCGCUGUUUUUCGCAUCACGCCAUCUCAUGGUCAAGGGAUCAUCCAUUGUAUUCGUCUUGUAUGAGUACAUGGUUUAUAAGCUUCUUUUGGGCAAAGUUAUACAAUGCAGAGUUUUACAGGAAUUGCACAAUUAAUUGAAUUUUCAUUGUGCUUUACGUUGCAAUGUAAAGAAAUUAUACAAAAUUCAUUGAGUAGGAGUAAGCAACGAUGCUCAUUUAUUACGAUCAAUCAACAUUGAUAUUCAUUUUACAACUUAAAUUCAUUUUAUUAUAAAAGAAAAUAAAAAUAAAAACUCUCUGACUUUAUAAUGAUCGACAUCAAGUUUUAUUGUAG